CCCGAGUUCAAUGGGAAGCUGGGAAUUGGUCCAGGAAAGAAAAACAAGGGCAGGCAUUUGGAGGAUUUGAGGGAAAAAGAGAUUGCCAGGAGAAGCCUGUUUAAUCUGAUCACCUGGGUCCCUGGGCACCAGCACCCUUUCCUCUGCCUUCUUUCCCUGGCAGCCUCUGGCUACGACCGAUAUCCAUCACGCACAUGAGAGUCACCAAGACAGACCAUACCCUGGCCCAUAAAGAAAACUGACCAACAUUUG